GUUAUUUCAGCAGUUCAUAUACUAAAAUUAGAAUGAUAAUGAGAAGAUUAGCAUGGCCCCUGUGCAAGGAUGAGACACAAACUUGUGAAGUGUAAAAUUUUACA